GACGAACGCUGGCGGCGUGCUUAACACAUGCAAGUCGAACGGAAAGGCCCUGCUUUUGUGGGGUGCUCGAGUGGCGAACGGGUGAGUAACACGUGAGUAACCUGCCCUUGACUUUGGGAUAACUUCAGGAAACUGGGGCUAAUACCGGAUAGGAGCUCCUGCUGCAUGGUGGGGGUUGGAAAGUUUCGGCGGUUGGGGAUGGACUCGCGGCUUAUCAGCUUGUUGGUGGGGUAGUGGCUUACCAAGGCUUUGACGGGUAGCCGGCCUGGGAGGGUGACCGGCCACAUUGGGACUGAGAUACGGGCCAGACUCCUACGGGAGGCAGCAGUGGGGAAUAUUGCACAAUGGGCGGAAGCCUGAUGCAGCAACGCCGCGUGCGGGAUGACGGCCUUCGGGUUGUAAACCGCUUUCGCCUGUGACGAAGCGUGAGUGACGGUAAUGGGUAAAGAAGCACCGGCUAACUACGUG
rnacentral:rRNA from 1 species